UUCUCACAACGUGCGAUAAGUAACGCCGGGUACGAAAUGUUCUCUUCGAUCCGUUUUUGCUACAUUUUACGCGAUUUUUCUUUACCCACCUUUUAUUCCCCGUCCACUUACGACAAGAAUGUACUGUAAAAGUGAGAUUUAAUGGGCCAAGUUAGCAGCCAGAACCGACCGACCGAGCUCGCUCGCUGAGCAAAACGCGGCCGUGUCGGCGUUAUUCUGUAUGUGGCACUGAUGUGUGUGUUCUUCUUUCUACGGUUUGGGUAUCGAUCAGCGAUUCAAGUAAGUAGCCUGUCAAACCUUUACGCGUGGAGGUCAAGCAGUCGGAGCUCAGGGAAGCACCACGGUCCAGAUGCCGUCUGACUGACGCCGGGUUUUCCGGCAGACCCACCCACCGCCAAGGAGCUGGCUCGGCACUCUCGCCGCUGCAAGGUGACCGAGCUACCCAUCCAGGAGCGGAUGGAAGACUAUAUGGAUGUGACGGACACCAUAGGCGUCAGGCUUUUGGACCGCGAGAAGAUGGCGGACAUCUGGCAGACCCAGAGAUGCCACCGCCACUGCAUUCAGGACCCUCCUGGUGUUCAGCUGUACAGGAGGGUGGGGCAGGUGAUCAGGGGAGGGGUCAUUCUGCCCGUGUAUCGCUGUGCACGCAGUUACACUUCCCUGGAGUUGUCCAGCUUCCCCUGAGCCGCUUCAUACCUGUCCCGCCUCCUUGCCAGAGAGGUCACAGAGGUCACCUGCGACAGGAGUUUGGGCAGAUUCUGGGUUCUGGGUGAACCGUGGGUCCGGGAACGCUGGGGACAGCACGGGUUACAUCAGGCACCUGCGGAAAGGCCAUGGGGGGCCGAAAUGGCUCUGGAGGGGCACCUGCAGUGGACCGAGAAUUGUAUCCUUCACGCAGUGUGCUUCAGUUCAAAAGUGUAUUUUUCUUUCUUUUAUUUCCAGGAGAGCCUGGGACCUGAUGAUGUUCCAGGCUACCCUCACAUAGUAAACCUGGCCAACAGUCUGGUGGACCUGCGUCACCAGGCCUUUGUGACACAGCAGAGGGUAGACAGCAUCGUUGCUCUCUGGGGGAAAAACUGCCAGAGAGUGACAAGGGCAGGCGGUGUUGCCUACCCACCGCGUCACAGAGACCGGCUCAUCAAGGGAUGAUUUAAAAGCAGCCACUCUAAGACCUCUGUUGUAGCUGAAACAGAGUCUGAAGUGGCAGUGGGCCUGCUCAGUGGCCCAGUUUCAGCCGCCUUGUCGAGGCCGUGUGCCCGGCGCUUUGUCGGCUUCACCCGGCCGGUCAGACCAUCGCCGGCGUCAGAGUGAACAGGUGGGCUGCCGUCAUGAGGGACUAUAGUGUCAUCAGGGACGUAGUCCUCGGUGGCCCGGCCCCAUAUUCACCUUUUUGUUGAAUCGGCAGACACUGACCUAGUGGUACAAGAAAAGGGAAGAAAAAGCAGGAACAGGAUGUUCUGCGCCUGAGCGUUGGCCAGUCCAGCACUCCCAUGGUGGCCCUGGAACCCCUCCCUCCCACGCUGAGUAAGCUCCCAGAGCGUCUGACUCACGGGCACCCUGCCUUUGACUUUAACAUCCAGAAGGAUGCAUCUGGGCAGACUUCUCAGCAUGUCCGAGGCCAGCCUCCUUUUCCUCCUGGUGAGACCCCUACGAACUCUGGUCCAGAAGGCGACGCGGCUUCUGCCACCACCACCACCACUCCUACUGCCCCUGCCGCACCAACUGGGUCCAAAGUAUCCCGGACCACAGUUUAGCGGUGGAAGAAAAAGGCAGAGGCUAAGACCACCGCCACCGCUGCCGAUGGACAGGCCGUCCCCACAAAGCGGCGCAAGCACGAACGCUAUGCCUGCAAACAGUGUGGCCAACCCAAGACCAAAGAGUUUGGACACAGCAGGUUUCGUGGAGUGCACUUGUGCAGUGAACGAGCACUGAUUUUAUCCUGCUUUGUACUUCACAAAGUGAAUGAGCACUGAUUUACUCUGCAUUCUGUUGCACAAAAUCAAUGGGCACUGACUUGUUGGUGAUUAGACACAUUCUUACAAAAGAUGCGUUUGUUAUUUUGAUUGAUAUUA